GACAAGCAGACGUGGCGGGGCGGGGGCGGCCACGUCCACAGGCCGGGGAGGCGCGGGCCCCAGGGCGCUCCCAGGCCUCCGCUGCCGCCCCGCCCCAGGGCUGGACCCUGGGAGGACACGGUUCUGGGGCCACAGGGCCUUAAGGACGGCUGCUCUCUCCUGACGCCAGGGUCCUGGCCACACUGGGAGCCCGGGGGGGCUGGGGCCGGGGAAAGAGCUGCGCAGAGCUUCGGGACCCGGCUUUGGGCUGCGACGGGCCUGCUGGGGGUCCCAGCCCCACAGCCGAGGCGUGCAGCCACGGGGAAGCCACGUCUCCACGCGGAGCCUCUGCUUCCACGCUAGGGCCCGUGCUGGGAGCGUCCAGUAAAAGCAGCCUCUUUCCAGUGCUGGCGCCAGAGACCGACUCACCUGGAGGCAGCAGGGAACAUGGACCCCACCAGAGCGCGGAAGGGACAUGCCUCUGGUCACACAGAGCUGUCAGCCCUCAGCCACCAGCACGGUCACCUAUCCAGAGACGUCCCCAGUGCAGGCGUAAUCUUUUGAUUCUUCGCAGAAACACUUCGGAAGAUCCGUGUCAAAAGGCUUUUAUCAGCGAGGAGCAUCCGAGCAGCCCGGCCCGGGGCCCCAGCAGCAGCCCGGGAGGCCUCGGUCGGGCGGAGGGAGGCCUCGGUCAGGCCCCGGGAAGACCAAACAGGCGGCAGCUGGAGAAUCCUGCCUGGUUACGGGUGAGCUUUGGGACUCCCCACCUGCGACAGAAAACCAGGGGCUCUAGAAGGUUCUCAAGCAUAGGCGCAACGGCCUUGUCAGCAGUGGGACCAGGUCGCCCUGUCCAGGGGCCCGGCCAGUACAGCUCGAGACCUAUGGGCCCACCUGCCAGUAGCUGAAGAGGGGAAAUCGUCGACACUGGUCGAGGGACAGAAAUCAAAGGAUUUAACCCCAGCGCUCCUCCAGGCGCACCUGGUGGGGAGGUCCUCACAGCUCCUCGACCUCUUCACACCAUCCUCGACCUUCCCGAGCCCUACACGGGUCCCAGGGAUGAAAUUAGAAGAUUUUGUGCCCGAGGACCUCCUGUUCUGUGCCCAGCCCCGAGGGGAAGCCUCCCAGCGCUCCCCCAGCCCCGCCCCUGGCUGCGCUUUGCCUGCGCUCCCGCCGCACUCUGAGUUCGUCCCCGUCCUGACCCAGAUCAGCCCACACGUGCUGUCUGCCGGCAGCCCCGUGAGAAUGUUCUGGACUUUCACUGUCCAGUAUGCCAGCUACGAGCCACACGUGACUUCGGAGAGCUCGGAACACAGCUUGCACGAGCGGAGACGUGCUGCGAGUGUGAACGGUACCGCGUCUCUAGGACUUUGUGCCGAAAACCAAAUGAAGAAGAGCUCGUUAGUAACUUUUGUGUUGCUCGCGUAUCGAAGUCAUAACAGUUCCCCAUACUGGAUUAAAUAAAAGUAUAUUAUUAAAGGU